rnacentral:tRNA from 1 species
UACCCCUUGGCCAUAUCGCC